GCCCAUUCUGAGCUCUUUCCAUGAGAAUCUCUUGAUAACGUUUAACCGGGCUGUGACACACUUCAUCAUCCUCACUGCCAGUAUCAAUUAUAUCGCCACUAUCAAAGCCAUCAUCUUCGACUUCUUCAGCCUCUUGUUGUAACAAUGGUUCAUGUGACCAGCUGUUUCCAUAUCCCCUAUUAGGCCUAAUUUCCUUUUUUGGUUUUCUUGCAAAAGAGAAUCCAAAACAUCCACAGCACCCCAUUUCUGUAACUUCAUCAACAGAAUGCAUCAUCACAGACAUCCAAAAU
rnacentral:misc_RNA from 1 species